rnacentral:lncRNA from 1 species
GGAGAGGGGGGGGAGAAAAAAUAAAAUCCAGGUAUUCCUUGGGCUCUGCCUGGCCCUCCCCAUGGCAUCCUAGGCUGGCUGUGUGUGCAAGUGGGCAGCUUGUUGAGGUUGUGACAAGGCUGGUUCACAGAGCCAGGGGAUAACCUGAUGGGUGAGGUCCCCACCCUGGGUGGGUGGCACAUCUCACCCUUCUUCUGGCUGUUCCAGCGCCUCUGUAGUCUCGCUUUGCAUCCAGACACUCUGCCCCUCAAAAAAAAGCUUAUAUUUAGCAGCUUUUCCUCACCCUGUCAGUGAUAGAAGUUGCUUUUAAGAAAAAGGAGAGGUGAUGGAGGAAAAAAAAAUCUCACUAAUUCAUUUGCAUGCUUCUGAUGGCCAGAUCCAGCCUGUAUGUUUCACACUACUGCUGUAGGUGAUUGCUGCUUGCCAGCUCUGCGUGCUGCUAAAUUUUCCAUGCUGAGAGAGGUCCCUAAGGCUGAAGCUUGCUGGGGGGGAGGGGGGACCCCUCAGUUUUGGUUCUGACUGACAUCGCAGGUUCCUGGCUGGAAAACAUCAGCCAGUCCCUUGACCACUGAUGGGUAAAUGUUCGUAACACAGGAGAAAAGCUCUAAUAAAAAGGAACCCCACUGAUCUGAGGGCAUUUUAGAAAAGAUGGGGCUGAAUUUCAAUGUCUGGGUGGGGUUUGGCUAACAUUCAAUGCCAUCUUAUGUUUUUUUGGUGGAUACCUCCCCUGUGUGCUGCAUUAAAUGCCCUCUAAUUUCAUCAGGUGUUGAAAAUAAAUGGCAGCUGAUAUGUGAUUACCCUGAUUUCCCUGUGUCCUUCCUAAUCCCCCCUCUGAGGUCCUGAGGACUGCCGUGUGGGUCUCUUGCACCAUAAUGUUCUCCCUGUCCCCGCCAGUGAGCGUGGCUGCGCUGGAAUACAGCAGUGAUCCCAGUGCUUUCGAAUUGAGGCUGCUGGAUGCUCUAGAUCUGCUUACAUCAGACCCCGUCUGCCAGGACCACACGCUGGUCCUGACCAACAGUGAGAGCAGAGGCACGAAGGUAAGAAACACAGCUGCCACCUAACGCUCUGCCUUGCUGUUCAAGUAGUAUCUCUGGCACUUAUGAUGAUUGAUCUCUGGAGGCGUACGUCCCUGGAAGAGGGUCCCCUGCCUAUCUAGCCAUCAGCGUCAGGCCCUGCCACUUUCUUUCUCCCCAGCUCAGGCAGUUUGAACCACCUGUGCCCUUGUCAGUUCUGGAGCUGCAGGGCUCCCCACGCAAAAUUCGCUCUAUGGUAUAACUCUCCAUGCUGUAGCGAAAGCCUAGCCGUGGUGACAGCUGCACAGGUGUGAACUUACUCCUCUCUCCCAUGACAAUAGACCAUCCGUCUGCAUUGCAGAACCUAAAUCUGUAGGCUUCCCCUUUGCCUACCAAAUUUGGCCAGCCGUGUAUGCAAUGAGUCACUGCUACUUGGGUGUUCCCACAGAAAGCUGUGGGAUCAGGCUUGUGCGGGAGUACAGCUGCAACUGAGGAAGAGUGGCAGAAUCUGGCCCACAGAAGCUGACAUAUGGUAAGGCAAUAUAUGUUUCCUAGCAUGCGGAUCCAAAAAUUAUUCCUACAAGGUGCAGAGUUACAUUGAUUGUAUUACUGGAUUAUCAAAUGAUUAAAGCCAUUAACAAUCCACUCUUGAGCAAUCAACGUAACAAUGUUUAGUUGCCUUGCAGUAACAAUUAAAAGAUGAAGCAAUUUGCAAUAAUUAGGUAGUAUCUGGAAAAAGUAGUCCUCAUUAAGAGAAGUUAAAAGGACUUUUUUAUAUGGUUGAGAUGAACCUAGCAGGCCAAUUCCCCCUUUGUCACCCUCUCUUCUUUCCUCCUGUGUUUAAGGAAAACAAUCUGUUCUUGUUUAGCCUUUCGUUUUGGAAAAGAUC